GCUCAGGGGCUACUGUUGGGGGGAAAUAUUAACGACCUCCUAAAGCCCAUGAAAAUAACAAUCAUAGAGGCUCAGGCCCACCUAAGGUAAUAAAGACUGCCGUCGGCCCAACACAGGAGGCGAGAGCCCCGCUCCGCCUCGCCCGACCCGGUGCCCCGGGGUCGGAUGCCCCCGACCCCUUGAUGACCAGACUCCACCUCGCCCGACCCACGGGCCUAGGGUCGGGAGCGCCCGACCCCCGCCACAAGACUCCACCUCGCCCGACCCCCCGCCGCAAGACUCCGCCUCGCCCGACCCAGGGCGCAGGGGGUCGGACUCAUCCGGGCCCACAAGACAAAUGCCCGCCGCGGGUGCAGACUGGAAGAUCAGGGUGCGGAUCUCGUGGGUUCCCUGUUG
rnacentral:lncRNA from 1 species